CCUACGGGAGGCAGCAGUAGGGAAUCUUCCACAAUGGGCGAAAGCCUGAUGGAGCAACGCCGCGUGGGUGAAGAAGGUCUUCGGAUCGUAAAACCCUGUUGUUAGAGAAGAAAGUGCGUGAGAGUAACUGUUCACGUUUCGACGGUAUCUAACCAGAAAGCCACGGCUAACUACGUGCCAGCAGCCGCGGUAAUACGUAGGUGGCAAGCGUUAUCCGGAUUUAUUGGGCGUAACGGGAACGCAGGCGGUCUUUUAAGUCUGAUGGGAAAGCCGUCGGCUUAACCGGAGUAGUGCAUUGGAAACUGGGAGACUUGAGUGCAGAAGAGGGGAGUGGAACUCCAUGGGGAGCGGUGAAAUGCGUAGAUAUAUGGAAGAACACCAGUGGCGAAAGCGGCUCUCUGGUCUGUAACUGACGCUGAGGUUCGAAAGCGUGGGUAGCAAACAGGAUUAGAUACCCCAGUAGUCC
rnacentral:rRNA from 1 species